AGGUCCCUUUCUCCUAGAGACUUGAAUUAAACACCCUUCCUUACGUGAUCUCAAUAGUACAAUGACAGCAAGCUGAGCUAUGCCAUUCAGAUUCUCUCUCCUUGAACUUCACUUUUGACCCAAGGCUGGAAUGAAGACUUGGAGGUAAUUCACUGCAAUACUGGCAUGCCUAGUGGAUUGUUCCCAUUGGAACACUCCUGCUGUCCUUUCUAUUUCCUCCUUAGUAUCCAUGGUUCCUGCCUCUUCUCAAGCCUCAGCCCCCAUAUCCUUUCAGUAAAUCUCCUUUUGUUUUAACUGGUUAAACUAUUCCAUUUUGGGGGAAGAGACAGAGAGAAGUAGAUCAGAAAGUGUCUUAUAUGACACACAGAGGCAUUUCAUCUUUAUGCCUGAGGCAUCAGGAAGGCUUGAUUAUUCGUCGUAAAAUUCUUUUGAAAAGUGUACCAUGUAUUUAUUGGCUGAACCAAAAGAGGAAGAAGAGAGUUUUGUGUCCAUUUAGACCGGAAAUCAAGACUCAAAGUAAGAGUUUGCUAUAAUUCUAUGGCAGUGACUCUGAAUUUGGGGGAGGUGCCAGACGGCUUUGAGAAUCUCAGUGAAUACUUUGGACUCUUUGUAGAAGAAUGCACAUAGGCACAACAUCCCGCAUUCAAUUUCAGAGAGUUUGAAGGGUCUUUAGAUCCGAGGUUAAAAAUCUCUGCCUUGGCGGUGGGGCGGGGAAGGCGCGGUGGCAAGCUGAGGAAGAAAGCCUCUGAUGUUUGGUGCCUUCA